rnacentral:misc_RNA from 1 species
UUUCCGUAGGUGAACCUGCGGAAGGAUCAUUACUGAGUUUUGUAUGUAGUUGUUCUUGUCUUUCGGGGCUAGCGUCCGCUCCUCUCCAUCCCUCUUAUACCUGUGCACCCAUUCUUGAAGACUUGGAUCUUUGUUGCGCCACGCCGGCUAUCUCCAGUCUCCUCUUAAUACCCAAUAUCUUAUUUAGAACGUCUUUUACGCUCGACGCCAACUCACAUAACUCCCACUUCCAGCAACGGAUCUCUUGGCCCUCGCAUCGCUGAACAACGCAGCAGACCC